ensembl:lncRNA
GGGAGGAGGCAGGCAGGAGGGAGGAGGCAGGCUAGUUUUGAGAUUUAGCCACGGUGAUUGCACUAUGGUACUGAGCUUUGUUAGGGUACGGUUACUCCUAAAACAUUUCCUAAAGUUUUGAUCUUCAUUUCUACAUUUCUGUGCAUUUAUGAUGGAAUAUUUUACAUUUUUAAUUAAGUUUGUGUUUAGCUUAUGGUGGCUGAAGAAGUUGGAAGACAGUUCCAGACAGCAGUGGUAUCCCCUGCUCCCUUCAGCUCAGGAUCUUUUGAACAGUGGUGUCAACUUCUGGUCCUGCUUUGACGUUUGUGUCACAGGUGCUGUCUGUCCUCAUUAGGAAUGCAGCAUUGCUCUCCCUGACACCUGGGGAGUGAGUGACAAUUGAAGGUUUGUUUUACACCAUUUAGCUCUUGCAAAACAAGUUUUUAAAGUUUAGAGUAAAAGAAGGUGAUGUGUGAAGUAUUAAGGUCCCAUUCUUUGGUAGAGCUCCACUAUUCUUGAAAUUAAACAGGUAUGGGUUCUGUAUCUGGUAGAGCACUGGUUAGAGCGCUUCAGAAUAGUUAUUCAGAAUAGUUACCUAUUCAGAAUAGCUUAUUAUUUCUAAUACAUUCUAAUAUUAGAAUAUAUUCUGAUUGGAUUAGUAAUAUAUUAGAAAUAAAUGUAUUCUGACCAAGUUAGAAAAUGCAUGCUUUGCAUUAAAAAGAUACACUCUUGGUUUCUCUUUUUUUCCCCUCAGAAAUCCACAUUAGUUUUGCACGUAUAUAAACUUAACAGGGUUUGGGGUUGCGGGUUCCUUUUGAUCGUGACUCAGUAUUGACUUGACCCUUGCAGCCCUGGCCCCUUUAACUUGCCAGUCAUAUCGAUCCGUGUUUCAGGUCGUAGGAACGUUCAGUGUACUUACUUGUUAUUUUAACAUUCCAAAGGUUUUUUAAUUGUUUGUUGCUGUUCUGGUAACAACCACUACAUCGUCUCCAUUACUCGCCUUCAGAUGGCCAUGGUGUGAACUGCUGACCAUUCUACCCAAAGACAUGGCCUCAAGCAUAGUGGCUGCCCUGAGUUUUAGACAUUGCAGUGUGAGUUGCAGUGCUGUCGCUGAAACAACGCUCUAACACCAGACUGUGCUCUGUAAUAUAUCCUGAUACAAUUUUUUGCUAAACAAAGUAGUGUCUUUAAAAUUUUAUUAAGUUUUCUGGGAAAUGACGACUUUUAUAUCAAUUUAAACCAUUUCCAAUGUGUUGAAUUAUUCCUUGGAUUUUUACCAAAGUAAUGAGCAUCAUGAUCACGUUACUAUGUAGGCAAUGAAAAGGUCAGAGUUAGCUAUAAACAUGUAUUUUAAUAGUAGUUUUCUUAAUUAUAUGAUCACUGUAGGAAAGUUAAAACAUUGAGUAAUUUCUAAAGAUGGAGGAGACUGGGAAGAAAGGAGAAAAGUUUUCUGUAAUUCUCCAAGUUAACUUCCUCCACGCCUGGCUUCAGUGCACACUUAUGUUAUGACCUAUUCUCUUCAGUUAAUGUAUUGAGAAUACUCCAUGUUAAUAAAGGCUGAUUUGACAGCACGGCGAC